CCAAUAGCGUAUAUUAAAGUUGUUGCAGUUAAAAAGCUCGUAGUUGAAUUUCGGGGUCAGUAAGUUGGUCGUGCCACUGGUAUGUACUGGCUUUACUGAUUCCUCCUUCUUGUAGAACCGUAAUGCCAUUAAGUUGGUGUUGCGGGGAAACAGGACUGUUACUUUGAAAAAAUUAGAGUGUUUAAAGCAAGCUAUCGCCUGAAUACAUUAGCAUGGAAUAAUGAAAUAGGACGAUCGAUCCUAUUUUGUUGGUUUCUAGGAUUGACGUAAUGAUUAAUAGGGAUAGUUGGGGGCAUUAGUAUUCAAUUGUCAGAGGUGAAAUUCUUGGAUUUAUUGAAGACUAACUACUGCGAAAGCAUUUGCCAAGGAUGUUUUCAUUAAUCAAGAACGAAAGUUAGGGGAUCGAAGACGAUCAGAUACCGUCGUAGUCUUAACCAUAAACUAUGCCGACUAGGGAUCGGAUGAUGUUAAUUUUAUAAUGACUCAUUCGGCGCCUUACG
rnacentral:rRNA from 1 species